GAUGAACGCUAGCUACAGGCUUAACACAUGCAAGUCGAGGGGAAACGAUGAGAGAGCUUGCUCUCUUAGGCGUCGACCGGCGCACGGGUGAGUAACGCGUAUCCAACCUACCCAUUACAGGGGGAUAACCUUGCGAAAGUAAGACUAAUACCCCAUGGCAUUUUAUGGUGGCAUCAUUAUAGGAUUAAAGAUUUAUUGGUAAUGGAUGGGGAUGCGUCUGAUUAGCUUGUUGGCGGGGUAACGGCCCACCAAGGCAACGAUCAGUAGGGGUUCUGAGAGGAAGGUCCCACACAGUGGAACUGAGACAAGGUCCAAACGCCUACGGGAGGCAGCAGUGAGGAAUAUUGGUCAAUGGGCGAGAGCUUGAACCAGCCAAGUAGCGUGCAGGAUGACGGCCCUAUGGGUUGUAAACUGCUUUUAUAGGGGAAUAAAGUGAGCUACGUGUAGUUUAUUGCAUGUACCCUAUGAAUAAGGACCGGCUAAUUCCGUG
rnacentral:rRNA from 1 species